AGAAGGCAGUGGGAAAAGAAGAUUAGGGAGGGAGAAGAUAUGGAUGAGAGGUAGUUUGGCGUCUUCUUUGAUGAGCUAAAAGCUGAAAGAAGCCUGGGGCUAGAUAUGGGUCCCCCUGAGCUAGAAGUAGUGAAGCCUGGGGCUAGAGGAGGGUUGUCCUGAGCAGGAGCAAGUUGGAGGCAGUGAAGUCCAAGAGGCAGUCGUAGUAAAGCCCCAGCUAUGUUUGGACUGGAAUUUGAGGGGCUGCAGGGAGAGAGGGGAGGCCUCCACUAUCUUCCUCUUGGCACUAGAAAGUGGAGAUUCUUCAAUUCUGUGCCUUCCAGACUGGGAGAGACCUUGAUGUGACCUGACUGGAGGGUUAAGUCCUGAGGUGUGGCAGGCCACCGUGAGAGUGGAGCAACUGUCAGCACAGGCUGCUAAAGAGAAAAGAGGAGUUAUGCCACACCAAGCCCUGAGGUGCCCACCAGUGGUGAUAGUCUCAAAUAACACAACUCCAGGAGCUGGGGCUUUAAUAAAAACACCAAAUAUCUGCCACAUGAUAAAAAGUGAGAGUUGGCGACACACACUGAAAUUCUGUCUGAUAAACUGCCUUUUGGAAAAGGUCUCUGGAAAAAGCCCCUCAAAAGCUGUCCAGCCAAUUUCUAUAUAAAUGGAUGACUGAGGUUUUCAAUUUCUAUGGAAAAUGAAAAAAAACUGCUUUGUUUGGUUUGAAGAUUGUAUAAAGUCAUUUAAACACUGACACAUGCUUCCUAGCCUAAUAAAGCAGCACUGCCUAGAAUUUAAGUGUAAACGUCACAUCUGUUGAACAUGUCAAAAAUCCAUUUGUGGAAGUGACUUUAUUUUGUUUAAUUUAAGCAGGGUGACUUCAACCUGAGCCACCAGUAACCAUUCUGUCUACAACCCUGUUAAACAAUGUAUUGUCUUUAAACUUAGGGCUGGCUUUCUCAUUUGCCAUUAAAUAUCAGGGCUCAGGAAAGGAAAUCUAAGACAGUAGGAGAGGAUACCCAACUACGUUCUCACCCUUAGAGUUGGCUGUUUGGGAUACAUG